rnacentral:lncRNA from 1 species
AAAAGAAGAAAGAAGAUCAACUUUGAUGGUGCGAGACAGAAACAAAAUUCGGAAUAUACAGUUCUAAGAGAAAGAAAGAAAGAAGAAAAAAAGAACAGUCAAUUGAUUAGACCUUCCAUGAGGCGUCUCCAAAGAACAAACAAAAUCAGUUAAAACCAAACUAUCAUCUCAUCAUGGCCUCCCCCUUUCCCUUUCCGUGCACUCAUCAUACCGGCAGCAGCAAACAAGACAAAUCCCAACAGCAACUAACCGGUCAAACAAGAGUCAAAUUACCCACAAGAUCUCCCCAGCUCGCCGCUCCACCCUUGCGGCGCCGCCGUCGUCUUCCGCCCCAGCGACGACCUCGUCCUCGCCGCCAUGGCGUCCUUCGCCGCCGCGUCCUUCUUGUCCUUGAAGAACCCGAACACCGGCCGCGAGCACACCGGCACGUUCAGCACCACCGGCGCCACGCGGACGCCGGAGGAGUAUGACCGGUCGACGGCGCGGGAGCGUGGCUUCGCCGCGGCGUGGAGGGUGCACGGUGAGCUGGAGCUGCGCUCCAGGCCCUGGAACACGAUCUUGCCGGAGGAGUUCAUGCGCGGGGAGUCGACGGAGAGGCAGCGCGGCGGCGGCGGCGGGGAGGGGCGGCGGCGCGCGGGGCUUCGGCCGGCGCGGGAUGAGGAGGAUGAGGAGGUGGAGUGGCGGUGGGAGGAACGGACGAGGCGGAUGCGGGGCGGGUUGGGGUCAGCGGCGGAGUCGAGGGAGAGGCGCGGGAUGUCGUCGUGGUCGUGGCCGGAGGAAGACGACGACGACGAGAGGGAGAAGCGGGAGGAGGCGAGGGAGAGAGACGCCUCCGAGUCGGAGCUGUCGCGGAGGAGCGGCGCAGAGGCGAGCUCCGACGCGGAGGCCCCGGACGAGCGGCCGUUGUUCCGUUGGAGCAGCAGCUUCAGCGACCUCGCCGCCGUCGAGUUCAUCGCUCUCCCGGGGGUUCUCGCGGGCGCAGACGACGGCGAUGGCUUCGGGCUCUGCGCUGCCGCUCUCUUCAGCCCGAGCAACUCCCGCCACCGGCUCGAGCAGCUGGGCGCCUUAGGAGAGAAAACGUACGGGUCGGCGGCGUCAACCGCGGCGGUAGCCGCCCGUAGUGGCUUCAUCGGCUCCGAAGGCGCCGGCAUUGCCUCAGGCUGCGGCGGCCGUGGCGCCGCCGCAUCCAUCUCCGGCACAGCCGCCGCCUUCCGAAGCGGGAGCAGCUUCCCGUCGGCAAAGAGCUCGUCCGCCGGGAGCAUGGUGGCGGAGCCCCCGAGGCUGAACUCGAAGUCGAUGAAGUCCUUGGAUAUCGCCGGCUCCGGCGUCGUCGUCGUCGCCACCGCCGCCGCGGCGGCCAGGGGCGAAGAACACACGACCACCGCGGCAGCCUCCUCAGCCCCGGCGGCGUCGCGGCUGAACGAGACACGCGGACCAUGCCAUCCACCGAACGGCAUGACAGCCGCGGGCGCAGCUGCAGGCAAGUUACUCGCGACGGCGGAGGCCAUGGCAGGCGGCGGCUAAGCGCAUCAACGGUAAGCAGCGCGACAAGAAGAAGUAUAUCUCGUGGUACCCGAUCUCACUAGACUGCCGGUACGGUACUAAUCACACACACUGGUUUUUAUGGGUGUCACUAGAUAGGGCUAAGGUGUGAGGCGGGGUAAAGGCGCGUAUAUAUAAGCUGGGUAAAGGUAGUAAAAUCUCGAAAUGUUUUUCGAUCUGGCGGCGACCGACCGAGGAGGUGAGGGUCUCCCGGUUCGCGGAAGCGCGCGGCAACGCAAAAACAAGUCCGGCCUUUGGGCGUUGCCGUUCCAGGUGAGCGCAGAGGCAAAGUGUGUUCGUCGGUUUCCGUGGAUUUAUUUUUGCAACGGCGCCACCGGCCGGAUCGGUACAGCUACGGACAGGCGAGAUACAGAGGGGAAACCGUGGGGGAUGUGCAAUGGUUUUUUGAGAUGUGUUUCUUCCUUCCCAGUUGCUACUCGGAUCACCGUGGAAUCUGUUUGUGGCUAGUAGGAGGAUAUGUGUUAGAAAUUAGAAUCUCCUGGUUCUGGUCUAAUCAAUUGUUACGUUUUCUACAUCGAAAAAUAUGGGAUAGUUGGCUAGUGGCUAUAUCGGUUCGAUGUUGUACGUUCCUAGUUUACUUUUUACGAUACGAUGGGUGUAACGCGCAAAAAUGUAUUUUAUAUGAAAUCAAUAGAUCAACAAUGUAGAGUGUUGAAAGCAAA